rnacentral:rRNA from 1 species
AUGUUCUACUCCCACUCCGUCCUGGCUCGGAAGAGCCCGCUGGGCACGGUGUGGAUCGCCGCGCACCUCGAGCGCAAGGUCAACCGGACGCAGAUCGACGGCGUCGACGUCCCCUCCUACGCGGCGUCCAUAAUGGACCCAGAGGUGCCCAUCGCCCUCAGGCUGUCGGGGCAUCUCCUCCUCGGGCUCGUCCGCAUCUACUCGUGGAAGGUGAACCACCUGUUCCAAGAUUGCAACCGGAUGCUGAGCGCGGUCAGGACCGCCUUCGCCUCCAUGGAGGCGAUAGAUCUGCCGGUUGACGCGGACCGUGCUCCGUUCGAGAUGGAUACGCCGGAUCGUCAUCGGCGGACCUCUGAUCAGAUCACCUUGUCUGGAGAAGGGUAUGUGAUGAUCACCCUUGACGAGGAUGGUGGAGCAGAGUUCACGUCUCCUGCUGGUCGAUCUUCAGGAUUUGAGCCUGAACAGCUUGAGCAGGAGACGUUCCCUCCGUUUCCUGAGGAUAUCAUUUCUGCAGAUCCUCCUCUGCAAGGCAGUUUUUCAGUGAACCCUAUCAAUGGGCACCGAGAUACACCAGAAAUAUUGCGCCGAGCGACUGACAGUGCGUCAAGGUUUGAAGAUGUUAUUGAUGGCGGUGACCCCAUGGAUGAAGAUCCGUCGCCGUUCAUAGAAAAGGUUACCACGCCACCAGCAAUGCACUCACCUUUAUCCCCUGUGCUUCGGACAUCCAUUCCCAAUGUUCCAACACGUAUCAGCCAUGAGCUUGUUGAAGAAGAUGAAGAACCAGCAGGUGACGCUGGACUCUUGGCACCUGUAGCAUUUGUCCUUGAACCAUCUCCACCACCUCAAGCACAAGGUAACAGGCGAAGGAGAAGGGCGAAUGUACAGGAGAAGAGGAGAAGGCCUAUAAUUGAUGAGGAAAUCGUGCUCCCCAAUGAUUAUAUGAGUAAUCAAGUUGAUGGCAUUGAGCUAGGUAGGCUGGCUCGCAGGAGGAAGAUACUGCCCCAUACAGCAGUGGAUGUGUGGAGGUUCAACAGGAUAAGCCAAAAGGACAGCCUUUUUUCUGAACCUCUGGUGCAAGGAAUGUGUAGCGAUCUUCAUAAAGCUUAUGAGGGGAACUACCCUCGUGUGAGUGACUCUGAUGCUCAGCCUGCCGAUGUUGUGAAUGUUCGUGACUCUGAUGCUCAGCCUGCCGAUGCUGUGAUUGUUCGUGACAAGGAUGCACCUACAAGAAAUGCAGAUACACAGGAGCCUGAACCUCACCUCACCUUGAAUUCUCUAGGAAAUGGAGAGGCAACACCAUUUGAUUCACCACCUGAGCUCCCUCGCUUCUCUCCACAAAAGGAUCUAUCUCCAGUAAGAGAAGAAGAACACACCCCUUUUGAAACCCCUGGUCGAAGUGGAACCCGGCGGUCUGGACUUGGAGGAACUGGUGCUACUGUACCACUAACACAUUGCAGUUCUGCAUCACUUGGAAAAAAUACUAUUGAAUCUCAUUUCCCAUUCGGUACUGACGAUCUUGAUGAAGAUCUACCGGGGUUUCCUGGGCUCAUGAAUACCCCUAGCAUGAUAUCCAGUGCGGGUACCAGCACCACAGGAUUAGGCAGCAUCAUGUCUACCAGGACAAGGGCUGCCGCCCAGUACUUCAAAGGUAUGAUGUCUUCAGCCACGUCAGAAGACCAGCCAGGGAAAUUCAGUUUAAGCAGAAUCUUGGACGGGAGGACAAAGAAGCAAGCUGCAAGCAUGUUCUUUGAAACAUUGGCCCUGAAGAGCUAUGAUUAUAUCGAUGUCCAUCAGGAAGAAGCGUAUGGCGAUAUUUCAGUUUCGGUUAGACCGUCACUCUCGAGCGCUAAACUUUGA